UACAGAGGUCUCAAGCGUUGUUCGGAUUCAUUGGGCGUAAAGGGUGCGUAGGCGGCGCGGUAAGUCGGGUGUGAAAUCUCGGAGCUUAACUCCGAAACUGCAUUCGAUACUGCCGUGCUUGAGGACUGGAGAGGAGACUGGAAUUUACGGUGUAGCGGUGAAAUGCGUAGAUAUCCGGAGGAACACCGGUGGCGAAGGCGGCUUCCUGGACCGACACUGACGCUGAGGCGCGAAGGCUAGGGGAGCAAACGGG
rnacentral:rRNA from 1 species